rnacentral:rRNA from 1 species
CGCGUUAGGUGUAUCGGUGACCACGAGUCACCGAGGUGCCGAAGGGAAACCGUGAAACGUGCCGCCUGGGAAGUACGGUCGCAAGGCUGAAACUUAAAGGAAUUGGCGGGGGAGCACCACAACAGGUGGAGCCUGCGGUUUAAUCGGACUCAACGCCGGGAAGCUCACCGGAUAAGACAGCUGAAUGAUAGCCGGGUUGAAGACUCUGCUUGACUAGCUGAGAGGAGGUGCAUGGCA